AACGAACGCUGGCGGCAUGCCUAACACAUGCAAGUCGAACGAGACCUUCGGGUCUAGUGGCGCACGGGUGCGUAACGCGGGGGAACCUGCCCUUAGGUUCGGAAUAACUCCCCGAAAGGGGUGCUAAUACCGGAUAAUGUCUUCGGACCAAAGAUUUAUCGCCUUUGGAUGGGCCCGCGUUGGAUUAGCUAGUUGGUAGGGUAAAAGCCUACCAAGGCGACGAUCCAUAGCUGGUCUGAGAGGAUGAUCAGCCACACUGGGACUGAGACACGGCCCAGACUCCUACGGGAGGCAGCAGUGGGGAAUAUUGGACAAUGGGCGAAAACCUGAUCCAGCAAUGCCGCGUGAGUGAUGAAGGCCUUAGGGUUGUAAAGCUCUUUUACCCGGGAUGAUAAUGACAGUACCGGGAGAAUAAGCUCCGGCUAACUCCGUG
rnacentral:rRNA from 1 species